rnacentral:rRNA from 1 species
UAUUCCGCAAUGGGCGAAAGCCUGACGGAGCGACGCCGCGUGAGCGAUGAAGGUCUUCGGAUCGUAAAGCUCUGUUGUUAGGGAAGAACAAGUACCGGAGUAACUGCCGGUACCUUGACGGUACCUAACCAGAAAGCCCCGGCUAACUACGUGCCAGCAGCCGCGGUAAUACGUAGGGGGCGAGCGUUGUCCGGAAUUAUUGGGCGUAAAGGGCGCGUAGGCGGUCUCUUAAGUCUGAUGUGAAAGCCCCCGGCUUAACCGGGGAGGGUCAUUGGAAACUGGGAGACUUGAGUGCAGGAGAGGGAAGCGGAAUUCCAUGUGUAGCGGUGAAAUGCGUAGAGAUAUGGAGGAACACCAGUGGCGAAGGCGGCUUCCUGGCCUGUAACUGACGCUGAGGCGCGAAAGCGUGGGGAGCAAACAG